CCCCCAGUUGGUAUCAUCAUGCAGCUGCCAUAGAAACACUUUUAGGUGUCUCAGGCUCAUCUCAAAUUCACCAGAGACAUUUGGCUCAUUAAUUCAAAUGUCAAGGAAAAUGCAUCGACUGCCAGGAGUCGGUCACUACCAGGCACCAAAAAUAAUGGAAGAGAGGUUUGGUUCUGAUCUGUAAAGUUCCUUCCCAGGUUCCGUUGGCAAGGGAGAAAGCAGAGGAAUCGCUAAAAAGCAAAGAUUGCCAGGUCAGAUGCCUGGCAAAUUCCCUUCAUCAAGCUGGGCUCAGCACCUUCAUUUCAGAAGGCUGAAAGGGCUGCAGGAGGAAGAUCUAUGCCGUGUUUGUCCUCCCAAACUAAUCCGGGUUUCUGCCACCCACCUGUAUUUCCAGAUUAGAUACAGAGGGGCUAAAACUAGAUUCCUAUUGUCCACUUCAAGGUAACAAGUCCUGUGACCAGAGGAUGGAUUUUCUGGAGUCAGUUAAAAAU